AGCAGACCCGGUCACCGGCUCCGGGGAAUACGUAGGGUGCAAGCGGUAAACGGAAUUACUGGGCGGAAAGAGAACCAAGGAGGUUUGAUAAGUUAGAUGUGAAAGCCCCGGGCGCAACCUGGGAAUUGCAUUUAAAACUGGCCAGCUAGAGUCUUGUAGAGGGGAGUAGAAUUCCAGGUGUAGCGGUGAAAUGCGUAGAGAUCUGGAGGAAUACCGGUGGCGAAGGCGGCCCCCUGGACAAAGACUGACGCUCAGGUGCGAAAGCGUGGGGAGCAAACAGGAUUAGAUACCCGAGUAGUC
rnacentral:rRNA from 1 species